rnacentral:misc_RNA from 1 species
UACGGAGGGUGCAAGCGUUGUCCGGAUUUACUGGGCGUAAAGAGCGCGCAGGCGGCCGAGUAAGUCGAAUGUGAAAUCCCCCGGCUCAACUGGGGAAGGUCAUUCGAUACUGUUCGGCUUGAAGGUAGGAGAGGGAAGCGGAAUUUCAGGUGUAGUGGUGAAAUGCGUAGAUAUCUGAAGGAACACCAGUGGCGAAGGCGGCUUUCUGGCCUAUUCUUGACGCUGAGGCGCGAAAGCUAGGGGAGCGAACGGG